UACAUUGAAAAACAUUCAAGUUUUUCCUGUGUUUAAAUGUUAAAAUACAAAAAUUAAAUUAAAACAAUUGCCAAAUUUAUUCAGACCAUCAUUUCUAUUGGCUUUAUUUUUGAAAAAAUUUCUACACAAAAUGUACUGGAAAAUAAAUAUUUAAAAAAAAAUUGAUAUUUUGAAAAAUGUUAUAUUUCAUAAUGUUAUGGCAUAGAGACAAUACCAUAGAGCUACAAAGUCGCCGCUAAAAGGUUGCUCGCAGUAAAGAGAGACAGAUAAAGUAGGUGCGUAUAGCUAUUAGAGAGAGAAAGAGA